rnacentral:lncRNA from 1 species
GCAAAAGAAGACAAAUCAGAAAAAUAAUAAAAGGGCUGAGGGAUGAAGCUUGGUGGCAUGGGACUUGUCCAGCACGGGCACCGUCCAGUGCUCUGUGUCUAGCACUGAAGAAAGAAGGAGGGGAACUCGGAAUAAACAGACCUGGAUGCAAUGGCAGACACCUAUAAUCCCAGCUGCAGGAUGCAAUGGCAGACACCAAUAAUCUCAGCUGCAGGAAGAUUGCACAUCUAAGGCCAACCUGGCCUAUGUAUGAGACCAUGUCUCAAAAUGAAAACAGAGAAAGAAAAGGAGGCUGGGAAUGUGACUUAGUUAGCCUAGCACUUGCCUUACCCAGUAAGACUUCUUUCAUUUAAUAAAAGAGAGAGAGAGUGAUCUAUGAACAGCAGGAAUAUAGAAAACAAGAACAAGCUUACCUCCUACUUUAUUCAACAUCCACCUUGUUCCCCCUACUAGCAGUUCCCAUAGUCGACCACUAGGGGGCAUGCAAGCUAAGCAAUCGCUACUUGCAGAGCUAAUUCUCCACCAUCAAGUUGCUUCGACUUCGCCUUUAAUCAGAAGUGCACUAGGCAGCUCGCAGGCUUACACACAACCAACCCUAAUCACCAUCGUGUUCUGCAGCCCAGCCAGUAACUCUGGUCAUGGAAUUCAGAGCCCAGACUGCUGCUCAUAACCCAGUUAGAACAGGAAUCCUGCAGCUAGCAGAGUCUCUCCGAGCCUAUUCCUACCAACCUCACAGAAAGGGGUGAGCGUGCCACAGGACACAUGAAGAGGUCAGGGGACAACUUGCGGGUGACCGUUCUCUCCUUCCACCGUGGGUUCCGGGGAUCACACUCAGGUCAGCAGGCUUGCCAGUGGCCACCCUUGCCCAUGGAGCCACCUUGCCAGCCCACCUCUCACUUUUCUUUUAGGACUGGUGUGUAGAUACCAUCAUAAGCAGGUGUUACUUCCUCUGGACCCUCCAGGUAGGAGCCAAGAGAGUACUCUAUGACCACUGCCCUUGGGGACAGCAUGGCUUGUGUGAGUGUGUGUGUGUGUUUGUUGUUGUGUUAUUGUGAUUGUUUUAGUGUCCUUUCCUGCUGAUUGUUUGGUUUUGUUUGGUUGUGGGUUUUUUGUUUGUUGGUUGGUUGGUUGUGUCAAUUUGACACAAGCUGGAGCCCUCUUGGAAGAGGAAACCUCAAGCAAGAAAACACCUCCUUAAGAUUUGCCUGUAGGCAAGUUUAUGGGCUAUUUUCUAAUUGAUAAUUGAUGUGGAAGGGCCCAGCCCCCUAUGAGCAGCCCUGUCCCUGGGCAGGUUGUCCUGGGUGUCUAAGAAAGCAAACUGAGCAGGGAGCACAAGCCAGUAAGCAAUUACUCCUGCAUGGCCUCUGACUCUGGACCCUGUCUCCAAGUUUCUUUCCUGACUUCCUUGACUACAAAGUGUGAUCUAAAAUAACCCUUUCCUCCCCAAAUUACUUUCCGUCAUGGUGUUUAUCACAGCAGCAGAAAGCAAACUAAGACGCUUCUGUAUUUCGAUUUUGCUUAGGACUCAUGCAUGCGUGCUUCUGCUCAGGCCGGCUGAUCCUCUCUCAUCCUUCAACACAUUAUUAGUCUUGCUUUCUCUGCACACCUCCCUGGAUUAGCUGGCUGCCUCUGUUUGGUCUUAAUGCCUCCUCCCUUCUUAAUCACAAGGCCAGUCUCAGACAAAGGAGAUUGUGGCCCUGACACAUUGGUAAGUGUCAGAAAGUGGAUCUGUAAAGGAACAUGUCGUGUACAUGAAUAUGUGUGUUUAAUGUUAAAUUUUCCUGACACAGUGGGACUGCAUCAUGGGCAGCCACUGACUGAUCUUUUCCCUCUUGCAGGUCCUCAAUGGCACAGUUCCCUGAAAAAGAAAUGGAGGCUAAAGGAAGAAGCUUUAUCCCCCGAGUUAGCAUCGGCAGUGCUCCUUGUUCUGACUGUGGUUGUUAAGGACCAGUUCAGAUCCAGCACCUGAUUACAGUGGCGAUCACCAGUCCCUGAUUCGAAGGCGGGACAGGCCAGCUUGUUGUUGGACAGGACCAACCUCCUUGCUCACCUCUAUCUCUGACUUACUGCUCAGUACCAUGUUUGCAUUAGAAUCCUGUGUAUGUCUUGGUCUUUUCUUCUUUGUUUAUAUCUGUAGGUAUGUCUUGCUGAACACGAUCUUGGAGGGAGGAGUGUGUGCAUGGGAGAUACCGCAGCCCAAGCUUGAACAAGGGGAAGACCUGGCAACAGUCUUCUCCUCAGUCAGGCCUCUUACAGGUCCCACCAGGUUUCACAUUGCCCAACGUCCACAGUGCAAACCCUUGCAACACUGUGAAACUAUUUCCCAAGCACACAGAUUCUUUCAGCAUCUCCCCUUCACACUUGAUCGCCUUCUCCGAGAGUGAACAGUACUGUACCUGCUCGCUGGACAUGGGUAUUUUGUACUGUUCUCUCUUGAGGUCAUAGACAAACGUGCCCUUUAGCUUUGUAUGAGUACCACCUAGGGUUUCAUGCUGAAUGUUCCUCUAAUGAAAGGCAAAUGCGCAAAAACUGGGCAAGUGCAUUUCAAGGCUGAAGCCGCUGACUUGUCGGAGCGAUGUGAUGGGGUGUUUAUGUCCCUUCCUUGGCAGUGACUGCCAUUCCUGGGGAAAGACUUAGAGGGAUCCUUUGCUGACACAGUAUUAUUCCAAGGUUUGCCUGUGGCUUUGGUUUUUGUUGUUUUGUCAUGCGAGCUACAUUCCCAGACCUGCCUUUGAGGUCUUUGUAGACAUUGUCUCUUCCAUUUCUUAGGGAGUAUCUAUGUCUAGGAGAAAUAGUUCAAUUCUGUAAUGCUUAAUUUUCAUUGUCACCCUGCUUGGAUAGGAAUCACUAAAGGAGGAGCAUGAGUGGUGUCUGUCAAGGUGGUGUCAGAAGUUUACCUGGGGAGGGAAGACCUUCCCUGAAUGUGGGCAGUAUCCUAUUGGCUAAGGUUCUGAACUAAAUAAAUAAAACCAUGAAGAGAACCGAAAAAAAAAAUCUGAUACAAAAGACAUUUAAGACUGGGAAUGUAUACAUGCAAAGCCCUGAAUGUGGGAGAGGGGUGUGUGUGUGUGUGUGUGUGUGUGUGUGUGUGUGUGUGUGUACACCCCAAGUACUAUGAUUGCAGGCAUGUACCACCGUGCCUGGUUUAUUUACUAAGUUUCAUAGUCAGUACAAAGCAAUAUCUUGCUUAUUGGAUGUCUUCCUCUCUGUCUGUCUGUAUUUGAGAGUCUCAUUAUGUUGCCCUGACUGGCCUGGAUCUUACUGUGUAGACCAGGUUGGCCUCAAACUCACAGAGAUCUGCUUGCCUGUGCCUCCCAAGUACUGGGAUUAAAAGCAGUUUGUUCUUUGUUUGUUCAUUUGUUUUCUAGACAAGGUCUCAUGUAGCACAGGCUGACCUUGUUAGGUAACUGAGGUUGACCUUGAACUUCUUUCUUGUUUCUACAUACUGAAAGCUGGGAUAAUGGGCAUAUACUCAACCAGCUUGGGGAUUUUUUGUUUUUGUGUUUGUUUGUUUGUUUGUUUUCGAGACAGGGUUUCUCUGUGUAGCCCUGGCUGUCCCGGAACUCACUUUGUAGACCAGGCUGGCCUCGAACUCAGAAAUCCACCUGCCUCUGCCUCCCAAGUGCUGAGAUUAAAGGCGUGCGCCACCAUCACCCAGCCAGUUUGGGGAUUUUUUUACUCACCUCCAAAGUGUAAGAGACUUCCACUACAGCUGUUUUGUAAUGUGACGUCACUGAGUGUGACAUCAUCGAGCACAACAUCACUGUGUGUAAGGACACUGAGCGUAACUUCCUGGAGUGUAACAUCACUGGAUGUGACAUCACCAAGUGUGGCAUCACUGAGUUGGGCAGAGAGAUGCCAUCCAUUGUAGAGUAUUUUCUCCACUGGGAUGUAAGAAACAAAGUAACUUUAAGAGAAUGACUAAUAGUAACAUUUGGGCCUGAGCUGCAGCUCAGUUAUAGAGUGCUGGCCCAGCAUCCACAGCUUCUGAGUUUGAGUCCCAGCACCAAAUAAAACCAAGAGUGCCAAGUGUAUGCCAACACACCAGAGGUAGAAUCAACAGAAUCAGAAGUUCAAAGUAUUCCUUGGUUAUAUAACUAAUUCAAG